CUCAGUACGGUCUGGACCCAGCCUGGCUCAGCCCAGCCCCGCCUGCAGCCAGCGCUGCUCUCCCGAGGCGCAGCCCUGGGGCGUGGUCCCGAGGAGCUGCGGGCAGGGGUGGGCUCUGCUGGGUCACAGAAGCCCCUGCCUGGCUCCUGGCCUGGCUGAAAAGCAGCCUGGGGUGACCUGGCCCCGCAUUGAGAGGGCACCGCCAGGCUCGUCCCCGCGCUGCGGGGGUGUCCCGGAUCCCCUCCGCGUAACGCUCCUCCCCAGCGCCGCCUCCCUCCGCCGGCCUUCCGGGAGCCCUGGUGAUCCUCGCUCCGCAGCCACCGUCGGACCGCAGCGCGCAGCGAGCCCGGCUCGGCCGCCGGUGCUCUGUGCUGGACCCUGAGCACCAUGUGGUGGCUCGGUGCUGUGGCCCUGCUGCUCUGGGCAGGGCUGGGCCUGGCCCAGGACUACCCAUUCCGGGACCCCACCCUGCCCUGGGAGCAGCGCCUGGACGACCUCAUUGGGCGGCUCACCCUGGGGGAACUGGUGCUGCAGAUGGCGAGAGGUGGCGCUAAGUACAACGGGCCAGCGCCCCCCAUUGAGCGGCUGGGAAUCAAGCCCUACAACUGGAACACCGAGUGCCUGAGGGGGGAUGGGGAAGCCCCUGGCUGGGCCACGGCCUUCCCCCAAGCACUGGGCUUGGCGGCCUCCUUCAGCCCCGAGCUCAUCCACCGCGUGGCCAAUGCCACUGCCACGGAAGUGAGAGCCAAGCACAACUACUUCAUGUCCACGGGCAACUACGGCGACCACACGGGCCUCAGCUGCUUCAGCCCAGUGCUGAACAUCAUGAGACACCCGCUGUGGGGCAGGAACCAGGAGACGUACGGCGAAGACCCGUUCCUGAGCGCAGAGCUGGCCGUGGCAUUUGUGCAGGGGCUGCAGGGCGACCACCUCCGUUACGUCAAGGCCAGCGCCGGCUGCAAGCACUUCAGUGUGCACGGGGGCCCUGAGAACGUGCCCGUCUCGCGGCUCAGCUUUGAUGCCAAGGUGCAAGAGCGGGACUGGAGAAUGACCUUCCUGCCCCAGUUCCAGGCCUGUGUGCGCGCUGGCUCCUACAGCAUCAUGUGCAGCUACAACAGGAUCAACGGCGUGCCCGCCUGUGCCAACAAGAAGCUGCUGACAGACAUCCUGCGGGCAGAGUGGGGCUUCCAGGGCUACGUGGUGAGCGACGAGGGGGCCGUGGAGUUGAUCAUGCUGGCCCAUCAGUACACACACAGCUUCCUGGAGACGGCCAUCGCCUCGGUAAAUGCUGGCUGCAACCUGGAGCUGGCCUUCGGCCUGACAGAGAAUGUCUUCAUGAGCAUCAGCGAGGCUGUGGCCAAGGGCAACAUCACGCUGGAGGUGAGAACCUCUGGGGGCAGCAUGGAUGGGACACCCCCUGCCCUUGUGGGGUGACAAUACCGGAG
rnacentral:lncRNA from 1 species